rnacentral:rRNA from 1 species
CGUGUAGGCGGUCAGGUAAGUGGAAUGUGAAAUGCCCCGGCUCACCCGGGGACCGGCAUCCCAAACUGCCUGGCUUGAGUAUGGGAGAGGAUGGAGGAACUCCUGGUGUAGCGGUGAAAUGCGUAGAUAUCAGGAGGAACACCGGUGGCGAAGGCGUCCAUCUGGCCCAAUACUGACGCUGAGGCGCGAAAGCUAGGGGAGCAAACG